GUGCUCAAUUCAGCAGCACAUAUACUAAAACUGGAACAAUACAGAGAAGGUUAGCAUGGCCCCUGCGCAAGGAUGACAUGCAAAUUCGUGAAGAGUUCCAUAUUUUU
ensembl:snRNA U6 U6 spliceosomal RNA